rnacentral:rRNA from 1 species
UACGUAGGGGGCAAGCGUUGUCCGGAUUUAUUGGGCGUAAAGAGCGUGUAGGCGGCUGGGUAGGUCCGUUGUGAAAACUCGAGCUCAACCUCGAGACGCCGAUGGAAACCCUCCAGCUAGAGUCCGGAAGAGGAGAGUGGAAUUCCUGGUGUAGCGGUGAAGUGCGCAGAUAUCAGGAAGAACACCCGUGGCUAAGGCGGCUCUCUAGUACGGUACUGACGCUGAGACGCGAAAGCGUGGGGAGCGAACAGG